rnacentral:rRNA from 1 species
UACGUAGGCAGCAAGCGUUGUUCGGAAUUACUGGGCGUAAAGAGUGUGUAGGCGGUGCUCCAAGUCUGUUGUGAAAUCUCCCGGCUUAACUGGGAGGGUGCGGCGGAAACUGGAGUGCUUGAGUGUGGGAGAGGUAAGCGGAAUUCCUGGUGUAGCGGUGAAAUGCGUAGAUAUCAGGAGGAACACCUGUGGUGUAGGCAGCUUACUGGACCGCGACUGACGCUGAGACACGAAAGCGUGGGUAGCAAACAGG